UUAGCUGGGGUCCGGUCCCGCCAAGCUUAUGCCGGGGCGCGAUCGUUCGGCGUUCUGUCACGGUCAGACUGGAGGAAGUUAAGUCUGUGUGGGGUCUGUGCCUGACUUACAGGGCGCGUCAGCGGACUGAGGCCCUGACCCCUGCCGUCCGCGUGACCUUCCAGGCGCCCUGACCGAAACUUUUCAUAAGCUGACAGUGUUUUUUAAAUCAUAGUUGGCAGGAUCAGUUUGGUGGGUCACGGACUAACAGUGGUUUGUUUUGUUUUGUUUUGUUUUUUUAAGCCUGUAGGGGCACCUGGCUGGCUCAGUAGGGGAGGAGCAUGGGACUUUUGAUACCAGGAUUCCCCGUGGAUGGCCUGCGAGUGGCAUUUUCUGGGUACAACUGAGGCAUCCAGCUGGUGCUCCUUACAUGUUAGCAGAACAAAUCCCACCCACUGUCCCUGAGGAGGCCAUCCAUUCCUUACCGAAGCAAUCCACUAUCCUACUGGCAGUUAUCAGCUCCAGGGAGCCAAGGUCACAGUUCUCUCCGUUUCUGGGCCUUCGAGUCAUGAGGAUCAGUCUCUGAUGUGGGACAGGGAUACAGCCACCCCUCCCAGGCAACUGGCAGCAAAACAUGAGAGGAGAACAGCAGAAAGGUGGAGCCAACCGUGGGAGAACCACACUUCUAGAGCCCCAAAAGGGCAAAAACAGUCACACAAGAACAGAAGAGCUCUUAAGAAUAGUGGGCUGGAUUCUAAAACUGGGACCCAAACACCUGGACAUUUCCUGUGUCCCUGCUGUGAUUGGCACUGGGCUGGGGGCACAGAUCUGAAGCCCACAGAACCCUGCCUUCAGGAGCUCAGAGUUGGUGGGUCCAGGAGAAGUGGAAUAAAUGAGGCAGAGUAUGAAACCCUGAGAGAGUUGGUCCUGCUGACCUCUUCAGUACCCUUCCCCUCACCCCUUGGCCUUGUACCUCACGCUCAUGGUCAAAAUGGACUAUGGUGGUUACCCAAACACACUGCCAGGUGCUCGUACCCCUGCUAUUUUCACUUCACUACUUGGAAUACUUUUCCUCCUCUUUGCCUAAUAAUCCUUCAAGCCUCAGCUAAAAUGUUACCUUCCUGCUGAAUGUUCUUUCAUUUUAUUAAAGAAAUACAGGCAUCAAUUGAGUGCUUACUACACUCUUACUCACCUCUCCCUCCCAGCUCUGGCAGAAAUAAUUAC